rnacentral:lncRNA from 1 species
CUCUAACAUAAAUUAACAUUUUUAAUUAAUUACACAAAAUUACCUAAAACCCCUUAUCUAAAUUAAAGUUUCACAUUUGUUUUUUUUUUAUAUUCUCAUUUUUUUCCUAUUUUUCUUUCUUUGAGAAAUUCCUUCAAAAUAAUAAAAGAGUUUAAUUGUGGUGGGUCGACAUUCCAAAACUGUUUUGCAUAAACAACCAAUCAAAACAUUCUGAAUUGCCAUGUUUGACCCACGUUAAUUAAAAAAUAUUAAUUGAUGUGGCAAUUCAGAAUGUUUUGUCCGAGCUGAUGGUGUUGUCCGAGCUCCUUCAGAAUUCUCAAUAACUUUAGGAUUCUGAAAAGGGCAUAAACAUUAGUCCAGGCAAAAACCAUGCACCAAAACAUGUCCAAAAGUAAUCAGGAGAAAUAGAGCCUUACCUUUCCCUCCAUUAAAGAAACACAUGAAUUGGUAGUACCCAAAUCAAUUCCAAUAACAUCACUACCAGC